ACGGGGCUAAGCAAUACACCGAAGCUGCGGCAAUAUCUUUUAGAUAUUGGGUAGGGGAGCGUUCUGUAAGCCGUUGAAGGUGGAUCGUAAGGUUUGCUGGAGGUAUCAGAAGUGCGAAUGCUGACAUGAGUAACGACAAAGGGGGUGAAAAACCUCCUCGCCGGAAGACCAAGGGUUCCUGUCCAACGUUAAUCGGGGCAGGGUGAGUCGACCCCUAAGGUGAGGCCGAAAGGCGUAAUCGAUGGGAAACGGGUUAAUAUUCCCGUACUUCUGACUAUUGCGAUGGGGGGACGGAGAAGGCUAGGUGGGCCAGGCGACGGUUGUCCUGGUUCAAGUGCGUAGGCUUGAGAGUUAGGUAAAUCCGGCUCUCUCUAAGGCUGAGACACGACGUCGAGCUGCUACGGCAGUGAAGUCAUUGAUGCCAUGCUUCCAGGAAAAGCCUCUAAGCUUCAGAUAGUCAGGAAUCGUACCCCAAACCGACACAGGUGGUCGGGUAGAGAAUACCAAGGCGCUUGAGAGAACUCGGGUGAAGGAACUAGGCAAAAUGGUACCGUAACUUCGGGAGAAGGUACGCUCUUGAUGGUGAAGUCCCUCGCGGAUGGAGCUGACGAGAGUCGCAGAUACCAGGUGGCUGCAACUGUUUAUUAAAAACACAGCACUGUGCAAAAUCGCAAGAUGACGUAUACGGUGUGACGCCUGCCCGGUGCCGGAAGGUUAAUUGAUGGGGUUAGCGCAAGCGAAGCUCUUGAUCGAAGCCCCGGUAAACGGCGGCCGUAACUAUAACGGUCCUAAGGUAGCGAAAUUCCUUGUCGGGUAAGUUCCGACCUGCACGAAUGGCGUAAUGAUGGCCACGCUGUCUCCACCCGAGACUCAGUGAAAUUGAAAUCGCUGUGAAGAUGCAGUGUACCCGCGGCUAGACGGAAAGACCCCGUGAACCUUUACUACAGCUUGGCACUGAACAUUGAACCUACAUGUGUAGGAUAGGUGGGAGGCUAUGAAGACGUGACGCCAGUUGCGUUGGAGCCGUCCUUGAAAUACCACCCUUGUAUGUUUGAUGUUCUAACUUAGCCCCAUUAUCUGGGGUGAGGACAGUGCCUGGUGGGUAGUUUGACUGGGGCGGUCUCCUCCCAAAGAGUAACGGAGGAGCACGAAGGUGGGCUAAUCACGGUUGGACAUCGUGAGGUUAGUGCAAUGGCAUAAGCCCGCUUAACUGCGAGAAUGACGGUUCGAGCAGGUGCGAAAGCAGGUCAUAGUGAUCCGGUGGUUCUGUAUGGAAGGGCCAUCGCUCAACGGAUAAAAGGUACUCCGGGGAUAACAGGCUGAUACCGCCCAAGAGUUCAUAUCGACGGCGGUGUUUGGCACCUCGAUGUCGGCUCAUCACAUCCUGGGGCUGAAGUCGGUCCCAAGGGUAUGGCUGUUCGCCAUUUAAAGUGGUACGCGAGCUGGGUUUAGAACGUCGUGAGACAGUUCGGUCCCUAUCUGCCGUGGGCGUUGGAAGAUUGAAGGGGGCUGCUCCUAGUACGAGAGGACCGGAGUGGACGAACCUCUGGUGUUCGGGUUGUGUCGCCAGACGCAUUGCCCGGUAGCUAAGUUCGGAAUUGAUAAGCGCUGAAAGCAUCUAAGCGCGAAGCGAGCCCUGAGAUGAGUCUUCCCUGAUACUUUAAGUAUCCUAAAGGGUUGUUCGAGACUAGAACGUUGAUAGGCAGGGUGUGUAAGCGUUGUGAGGCGUUGAGCUAACCUGUACUAAUUGCCCGUGAGGCUUAACCAU
rnacentral:rRNA from 1 species